rnacentral:rRNA from 1 species
UGCCUUGAAGAUCGGAGUGCUUGCACUCUGUGAAACAAGAUACAGACUAGCGGCGGACGGGUGAGUAACACGUGGGUAACCUGCCCAAGAGAUCGGGAUAACACCUGGAAACAGAUGCUAAUACCGGAUAACAACAGAUGAUGCCUAUCAACUGUUUAAAAGAUGGUUCUGCUAUCACUCUUGGAUGGACCUGCGGUGCAUUAGCUAGUUGGUAGGGUAACGGCCUACCAAGGCGAUGAUGCAUAGCCGAGUUGAGAGACUGAUCGGCCACAUUGGGACUGAGACACGGCCCAAACUCCUACAGGAGGCAGCAGUAGGGAAUCUUCCACAAUGGACGCAAGUCUGAUGGAGCAACGCCGCGUGAGUGAAGAAGGGUUUCGGCUCGUAAAACUCUGUUGUUGGUGAAGAAGGACAGGGGUAGUAACUGACCUUUGUUUGACGGUAAU